CCCUCCCUCUUUCUUCAUGCCUAACACAUGCAAGUCGAACGAGACCUUCGGGUCUAGUGGCGCACGGGUGCGUAACGCGUGGGAACCUGCCCUUAGGUUCGGAAUAACUCCCCGAAAGGGGUGCUAAUACCGGAUAAUGUCUUCGGACCAAAGAUUUAUCGCCUUUGGAUGGGCCCGCGUUGGAUUAGCUAGUUGGUAGGGUAAAAGCCUACCAAGGCGACGAUCCAUAGCUGGUCUGAGAGGAUGAUCAGUCACACUGGGACUGAGACACGGCCCAGACUCCUACGGGAGGCAGCAGUGGGGAAUAUUGGACAAUGGGCGAAAGCCUGAUCCAGCAAUGCCGCGUGAGUGAUGAAGGCCUUAGGGUUGUAAAGCUCUUUUACCCGGGAUGAUAAUGACAGUACCGGGAGAAUAAGCUCCGGCUAACUCCGUG
rnacentral:rRNA from 1 species